rnacentral:rRNA from 1 species
UCCAGACUCCUACGGGAGGCAGCAGUGGGGGAUAUUGGACAAUGGGGGGAACCCUGAUCCAGCGACGCCGCGUGAGUGAAGAAGUAUCUCGGUAUGUAAAGCUCUAUCAGCAGGGAAGAAGAAAUGACGGUACCUGAGUAAGAAGCCCCGGCUAACUACGUGCCAGCAGCCGCGGUAAUACGGAGGGUGCGAGCGUUAAUCGGAAUUACUGGGCGUAAAGCGCUCGUAGGCGGUAUGUCAAGUCAAGGGUGAAAUCCCCGCGCCCAACGUGGGAACUGCCUUUGAAACUGGCAAACUGGAGUGUGUGAGAGGAUAGUGGAAUUCCAGGUGUAGGAGUGAAAUCCGUAGAUAUCUGGAGGAACAUCAGUGGCGAAGGCGACUAUCUGGCACAUAACUGACGCUGAGGAGCGAAAGCGUGGGUAGCAAACAGGAUUAGAUACCCGAGUAC